GAUUAAUUGGUAAAUUUAUUAUAUUAAGUUUUGGGUUUAUUUGCCUUUUGCAUCAUGCUUAAUGGAUUUUUUUAAUUUAUUUUUUAUAUCAAAAAAUUUAGAUCUUGGAGCAUAGUUGUUUGGAACUUAUUUUAUUUGAGUUACGGUGUUAAAAUAGACUUGUUUUGUGGUGUGAUAAAUUAGUCGGUAAGUUUUAUAUUUAUUUGACCAUGUGUAAAAUUAUUUCGAUUUUAUAUAUUAGGUUAUAAAAUUUAAUAUAGGUUUAUAUCUUUUUUGUUUAUAGUGGUGAUUAGGUUAAAGGUACUUUAUCUUUGUAAAAUUGUUAAAAAUUUUAGUUUAUGUGGCGUGUAAUGGAUUAAUUGUGAUAUGUGGUGUUAUUUUUAAUUGUUAGAUGGGAUUAUUAUUAAAUAAGUAAUGUUAAUACAGUAGUUAUUUCUCAGAGUUUGUCCGUCUGUUUAUUAAAAACAUUUCUAAAUUUAAAUAUAUUUAGUAGUGCCUGCUCGAUGUGUUAUAAAUGGCCGCAGUAACUUGACUGUGCAAAGGUAGCAUAAUUAAUUGUUUUAUAAUUGAAAACUUGUUUGAACGGUUUGACGAGAUAAAAUUGAAUAUUUAUUGUAUAUUUGAAAUUUAUGGUGUGGGUGCAGAAUCCACAAAUGUUAAUAAGACGGAAAGACCCUGGAAUCUUUUGUCUUUGUUUGGGGCAAAUUUUAAUAUUUUAUUUAGGUUGUGACCCCUUUAUGGUUUAACGAGUUAAGUUACUCCAGGGAUAACAGUGUAAUAGUUAAUAAGAGAUCUUAUCGAGUUAACUGUUUGCUACCUCGAUGUUGACUUGGAUUAAUUGCUUGGGCGCAGUAGUUUUAGUGUUGGGUCUGUUCGACCUUGAGAAUCUUCGUGAGUUGAGUUUAGACCGGUGUAAGCCAGGUCGGUUCUUAUCUAUU
rnacentral:rRNA from 1 species